rnacentral:rRNA from 1 species
GAUGAACGCUAGCUACAGGCUUAACACAUGCAAGUCGAGGGGUAACGAGAGGAAAGCUUGCUUUCCUUGUCGACGACCGGCGCACGGGUGAGUAACGCGUAUCCAACCUGCCCCCAACUAGGGAAUAACCUUGCGAAAGUAAGACUAAUACCCUAUAAUUUCCUCAGAUGUCAUCUGACGAGGAAUAAAGAUUUAUCGGUUGUGGAUGGGGAUGCGUCUGAUUAGCUUGUUGGCGGGGUAACGGCCCACCAAGGCAACGAUCAGUAGGGGUUCGGAGAGGGAGGUCCCGCACAUUGGAACUGAGACACGGACCAAACGCCUACGGGAGGCAGCGGUGAGGAAUAUUAGUCAAUGGGCGGAAGCCUGAACCAGCCAAGUAGCGUGCAGGAUGACGGCCCUAUGGGUUGUAAACUGCUUUUAUACAGGAAUAAAGUUAGCCACGUGUGGUUAUUUGUAGGUACUGUAUGAAUAAGGACCGGCUAAUUCCGUGCCAGCCGCCGCAGUAA